rnacentral:rRNA from 1 species
CAAUAGCGUAUAUUAAAGUUGUUGCAGUUAAAAAGCUCGUAGUUGGAUUUGUGGCGUACGGUGGGUUCCGGGCACUUGUUGUCUGAGUAACUUGCUGUUGCCAUCCUUGGGUGGAACCUGUGUGGCAUUAGGUUGUCGUGCAGGGGAUGCCCAUCAUUUACUGUGAAAAAAUUAGAGUGUUCAAAGCAGGCUUAUGCCGUUGAAUAUAUUAGCAUGGAAUAAUGAGAUAGGACUUUUUUGCUAUUUUGUUGGUUUGCGCAAAGAGGUAAUGAUUAAUAGGGACAGUUGGGGUAUUCGUAUUCCAUUGUCAGAGGUGAAAUUCUUGGAUUUUUGGAAGACGAACUACUGCGAAAGCAUUUACCAAGGAUGUUUUCAUUAA